GCUGCCCUGUGGCUGUCCUCCCCACCACCCGGGUGGCUCUGUUGUAUGUCUAGACUAACAGGGAGAAAGUGCUUUAUUUCUACUGGUGACCCGAGUCAGUUGGGACACUGGAGUAAGAAACAGGUGCAGAGCUUCUUCCCACUGUGUGGGCGCAGCAACCGUCUCUUACUGCAGAGAAGGCCACGGGUGCUGGUCACUCAGUCCACAAGGCUGGGUGUGUCAGCAGUCUCAGUCUGGCACUGAAAACCUGGAAGGUUCCUGGAGAGCUACUGAUCCCGAGUCUCAACGCGCUGGUUCUGACAUUAGUGAAAGGCUCAUUGCAGCAUCACAGCAAACAUACUAAGUAAGCAUCAGGAGGAAAGCCAAGCUGGACUGGUGCUGAAAGGUGCAGCUUGCACUUGGAUGGGUCUUAUGUAACAGUUAAGCAAACAGGACAGUUCUUCCGGUGAGGGGCCAACUCAGGAGGUUCUAAUUUGUAGCAAGUUGACAUUAAAAUCAAGUGUAAUGCUUUGGUUUUAGUUAGUUCAGCACAGAUCACCACCACCACCACCACCACCACCAUCAUCAUCACCACCACCACCGCCACCGCCACCGCCGCCACCGCCACCGCCACCAUCACCAUCACCAUCACCAUCGCCACCGCCACCAUCACCAUCAUCAUCAUCACCAUCACCAUCACCACCACCACCGCCACCGCCACCGCCACCGCCACCGCCGCCGCCGCCACCGCCACCGCCACCGCCAUCGCCACCAUCACCAUCACCAUCAUCAUCACCAUCACCACCACCACCACCGCACCAUCACCAUCAUCAGUGGCAGCAGCCACAGCAGCAGCAGCGGUGGCAGCAUCCCCUUAGGCAAGGUCUGUGCAGUCCAGGCUGGCCUGAGACACACUAUGCAUUCCAAGAUGGCCUUGUACUCCUGGGCCUCACAGAGCUGGAAUCACAGGUGUGUACCAGCACAUCCCGCUUAGUUAAAAAACACUUAGAUUGUUUUUGACCACUUUCUCCCAGGCCUCUGGCACUCGUAAAAGCUAAAGGCACGCGCACUGGAAGCCAGAACACUCGGUUCCUGCCCUACAGAGCUCUCUUAGGAAGCCCUGUAAUCCAGAUGCUCUUUGCCCCGUGGUCCACAUACACUUAUUUUGGGAAAUAAUCCUUAGGUGAUGAGGUGAUUGCCUCCAAGAGCCAGGCUCAGGCUAGGGAGACAUCAGUGGAUAAAGGCACUUGCCAUCAAACCUGAGUUCAAACCCCAGAACCACGUGUUGAAAGGUGACAUAGAUUCCUGAAAGUUGUCCUCUGACCUCCGUGUAAGCGUCUGCACGUGUGCACACGUAUGUGCAUGCUCACACAGGCACAUGCAAGUGCAGGCACACACACACACACACACACACAGAGUUUGAGUGAAGCAGUACUGUGGACCCUGGACUACAGUCCAGAUUUAUUGUUAAACAAUGAUUUGAUGGGCAGAGCUAGUUUUAAUCCAUGUUAACACAAAGGUAUUUUGGAAAAUAGAGACUGGGAACUAAAAGACUUAAAAAAAAAAAAGCCCAAUUUCCUUCAGUCCACAUCCUCAAAAUCACAGUAUCAAAACAACUACCACAGGGAUUGCUGACAUAUUUCUUUUUAAAGUUCCUUUCUUCUUCUUUGACUGAGGAACUUCUUUGACUGGCCUUGAUGCUCCUGCCUGCAGCUCCUGUGUGCCGAGAUUACAGGCAUGUAGUUUCUACGCUGCUGUGGAUGGAACCCACGCCUUAUACAUGCUAGAGAGGCACUGAGAUAUGUCUUAUCUUUUGGUUACCCUCCAGUGUCAGAGCAGGUGUCUGGAGUCUUUCCUCUUUGACCCCUAUCUGGUCUCAGUUCCUGGAGGUUAAUGUACCCCACACCUUAUAUAUGAAUGCCUUAGUCCCUGGGCAGUCCUGUCCUUUUAUAGAUGUCUCAGGGGAGACUUCCAGGAACAGGGUUAAUUCCCGUUUCAUUCUUUUAAGCUUUUCCGGUAAAAAGUAAGCAUUUUCCUGUGGUUCUUAAGGGCACACUUUCUUUUUUUCAAAAAUUGGUUUCUGUUGCUGUUUUUCUGUGUGGGUAUGCGGUGCUGGGGAGCCAGCAUAAGCACGGCCUUGUCCUAUCGAGGUGAACUCUCUUCCACAGAGCCCAGCCUGCAACACUUCAAACUGCACGGCAAGGCUAAGCAAAGCCUGACAAUGAUCCCAUUUCUUCUGCCUCAAGUCAUGAGCUUUAAGGUUUAUUUUUACUUCUCUAGAUGAGUAAAACUUUCUCCAGUUUCAGUCACUCUGCUGAACUUACCUUCCUUGGUAUUGGUCUUUCAAUGUUUAUUUCAGUAUUUAUGCUGUUAAGUUAAAGAAGAUUUUUUUUUUUCUUGCAGUAUCUAAUUUUUAGGACUUAUUCUUUUCUUUAAAUGAUGCCUGUCACUCUCUGGUAGACAUUAUUCAGUGCUUACUCUUCCUUCUUUGACCUUUUAAAUCUUAUUUUAGAGACUUGCAUCAUUUUCACUUUAAGAAAGCUUAAGGGAUAUAUAAUGAAUGUUGUGAAAAAAUUAAAAUUAAAAGUUUCCAAUAAGAAAUAAAAUAACCAAUAAAAAAGAAA